UACAGAGGUCUCAAGCGUUGUUCGGAUUCAUUGGGCGUAAAGGGUGCGUAGGCGGCGCGGUAAGUCGGGUGUGAAAUCUUGGAGCUUAACUCCGAAACUGCAUUCGAUACUGCCGUGCUUGAGGACUGGAGAGGAGACUGGAAUUUACGGUGUAGCGGUGAAAUGCGUAGAUAUCGUAAGGAAGACCAGUGGCGAAGGCGGGUCGUCUGGACGAGUCCUCGACGCUGAGGCACGAAGGUCAGGGGAGCAAACGGG
rnacentral:rRNA from 1 species